UGAACUGUGAUGUGCACUGCAGAUGUUACCAUAAUGCAAAGAGCAGUGCCCUUCUGAGAAAGUUGAAGGAUGUUAUCCCUACAAUUCCUUCAAGUGAACUAUCAAGACAAUGUACGAAUACAGUGCCCUUCAUCUAUACUUCUCUAAUUCAUAUCACCAGACAACCCUUCAUUUGGACAUGGACAUGCUUGUAAUCUCAUAUAUAUACAUAUAUAUAAUCACAACGGUGUGAGCAUUUGACCCGUAUUUAAGUGUACUAAAUGUCAGAUGAACUAGAAAAGUGUAUCAUACUUCUCCAAUUCCAAUGGUGACAACAUGGGGAGCAAAUGCCUGCCCUGCUGAACUGUUCAUCCAUUCACCUACAAAAAGAAAAAAACUGAACCUUUAAAGACAAACACAGAAACCAGGCAGCAUAUAUUUGCAA